GAGCUAACGCGUUAAGUCGACCGCCUGGGGAGUACGGCCGCAAGGUUAAAACUCAAAUGAAUUGACGGGGGCCCGCACAAGCGGUGGAGCAUGUGGUUUAAUUCGAUGCAACGCGAAGAACCUUACCUACUCUUGACAUCCAGAGAACUUACCAGAGAUGCAUUGGUGCCUUCGGGAACUCUGAGACAGGUGCUGCAUGGCUGUCGUCAGCUCGUGUUGUGAAAUGUUGGGUUAAGUCCCGCAACGAGCGCAACCCUUAUCCUUUGUUGCCAGCGGUUCGGCCGGGAACUCAAAGGAGACUGCCAGUGAUAAACUGGAGGAAGGUGGGGAUGACGUCAAGUCAUCAUGGCCCUUACGAGUAGGGCUACACACGUGCUACAAUGGCGCAUACAAAGAGAAGCGACCUCGCGAGAGCAAGCGGACCUCAUAAAGUGCGUCGUAGUCCGGAUUGGAGUCUGCAACUCGACUCCAUGAAGUCGGAAUCGCUAGUAAUCGUAGAUCAGAAUGCUACGGUGAUACGUUCCCGGGCCUUGUACACACCGCCCGUC
rnacentral:rRNA from 1 species